ACCAAGUUAUCUUUGGCUGAUUUCACAGAGCUAAGCAGGAUUAGUCUUGGUUAAUAUUUGAAUGAGAGACCACCAGGAAACUCAAGGGCUAUAGAUU
rnacentral:rRNA from 1 species